UACGUAGGCGGAAAAUUAAGUCAGUAGUGAAAUCCUGCAGCUCAACUGUAGAACUGUUAUUGAUACUGGUUUUCUUGAAUGUAGUUGAGGUAGGCGGAAUGUGUAAUGUAGCGGUGAAAUGCUUAGAUAUUACACAGAACACCGAUUGCAAAGGCAGCUUACUAAGCUACGAUUGACGCUGAGGUACGAAAGCGUGGGGAGCGAACAGGAUUAGAUACCCUGGUAGUCC
rnacentral:rRNA from 1 species